UGGGGAAUAUUGGACAAUGGGCGCAAGCCUGAUCCAGCCAUGCCGCGUGAGUGAUGAAGGCCUUAGGGUUGUAAAGCUCUUUCAGUAGGGAAGAUAAUGACGGUACCUACAGAAGAAGUCCCGGCUAACUUCGUGCCAGCAGCCGCGGUAAUACGAAGGGGGCUAGCGUUGUUCGGAUUUACUGGGCGUAAAGCGCACGUAGGCGGAUUGGUCAGUUAGGGGUGAAAUCCCGGAGCUCAACUCCGGAACUGCCUUUAAUACUGCCAGUCUAGAGUCCGGAAGAGGUGAGUGGAACUCCUAGUGUAGAGGUGGAAUUCGUAGAUAUUAGGAAGAACACCAGUGGCGAAGGCGGCUCACUGGUCCGGUACUGACGCUGAGGUGCGAAAGCGUGGGGAGCAA
rnacentral:rRNA from 1 species